UACGUAGGGUGCGAGCGUUGCCCGGAUUUAUUGGGCGUAAAGGGCGCGUAGGCGGCUCGGCACGUCCGUUGUGAAAUCGCCCGGCUCAACUGGGCGGGGUCAGCGGAUACGGUCGAGCUUGAGCAAGCUAGGGGGUAAUGGAAUUCCUGGUGUAGCGGUGAAAUGCGCAGAUAUCAGGAAGAACACCCGUGGCGAAGGCGGCUCUCUGGGACGGUACUGACGCUGAGACGCGAAAGCGUGGGGAGCGAACAGG
rnacentral:rRNA from 1 species